rnacentral:lncRNA from 1 species
ACUCACAGUACCACCAACAAAUAGCAAGGUAAAAUAACUACCUGGGUUUAGGUUCGAAGGGAUCCGUGCAAUCCACAGCAACAAACUCGCCGGAGUUCGUUGUCGGAACCGGGUUCUGGGCAUAGAGAAGAGAUAAGGUCAAAACCAUCGAUUUUGACCAUAAAACCAACACAACAGUGUGUGAUUAAACCCAGAAAUUUGAAGAAGGAACACACUUCUCACCUGGGUUCGAGUUUUAGAGCUUUAAAGCUAUCGGCUUCAAUGGCAGAAAAGUCCACAAUGCUCUGAUGGCGCAUGCAAGGGUACCAUUGAGUUCGUUAGGUCUCAAGGAUUCCAAAUAUAUAAAUUUUAGGCUUGAUUUGUUAUUGAUUCGAAGGGAAGAGGGGUUGGGAGUUCUCGGAGCUUAGAGAGUUAGAGAGAGUGAGAAGAAGAAACUGAAAAAAAAAAAAAAGAGAGAGAGUUCUGAGAUGAGUUUCGGAAAGAGAGGGAAGAAGAGAGAGAGACUAGAAACAAAGAUAUAAAAAUAAUGCGGGUCCCACGGUUCCAAUUAAAAACUAAAGAAGUCAUUUUAAUAAGUAGAAAGUGGGUGUGGUUGUAACAGAACCUUUCACCAAUCUUCUUCUGAGUAACUCGGUCCUGAAACACAACAUUGUGAGGGAAAAAUAUGGCA